GGUGGGGUGCCAGAAGGGUAUUGGGACCGUCUCCUAAACGGCUGCCUGCAUAUUCACGGUAUGCAGUGCGGGUUCGAAUCCCGCCCCCACCGCCA
rnacentral:tRNA from 1 species